UGGUCACUAGCUCAAUUAGGCAGAGCAACGCCCUGUUAAGGCGUCAGGUGAAGGUUCGAGUCCUUCGUGGCCAG
rnacentral:tRNA from 1 species